rnacentral:tRNA from 1 species
UCCUCAGUAGCUCAAGCGGUAGAGCAUCUGAUCAUUAAUCAGAGAGGCGCUGGUUCGAGUCCAGCUUUGGGAA